CCUACGGGUGGCUGCAGUGGGGAAUAUUGGACAAUGGGGGCAACCCUGAUCCAGCCAUGCCGCGUGUGUGAAGAAGGCCCUCGGGUUGUAAAGCACUUUCAGUGAGGAAGAACGCCUGGUGGUUAAUACCCAUCAGGAAAGACAUCACUCACAGAAGAAGCACCGGCUAACUCCGUGCCAGCAGCCGCGGUAAUACGGAGGGUGCGAGCGUUAAUCGGAAUUACUGGGUGUAAAGCGCGCGUAGGUGGCUUGAUAAGCCGGUUGUGAAAGCCCCGGGCUCAACCUGGGAACGGCAUCCGGAACUGUCAAGCUAGAGUGCAGGAGAGGAAGGUAGAAUUCCCGGUGUAGCGGUGAAAUGCGUAGAGAUCGGGAGGAAUACCAGUGGCGAAGGCGGCCUUCUGGACUGACACUGACACUGAGGUGCGAAAGCGUGGGUAGCAAACAGGAUUAGAUACCCUUGUAGUC
rnacentral:rRNA from 1 species